rnacentral:misc_RNA from 1 species
UGAGUGGCAUUAACUAAAUAAGUUAAAACUUUCAACAACGGAUCUCUUGGCUCUAGCAUCGAUGAAGAACGCAGCGAAAUGCGAUAAGUAAUGUGAAUUGCAGAAUUCAGUGAAUCAUCGAAUCUUUGAACGCACAUUGCGCCUGGCAGUAUUCUGCCAGGCAUGCCUGUCCGAGCGUCAUUUCACCACUCAAGCUCUGCUUGGUGUUGGAGGACCCGCGUUUAGUCGCGGGCCGCCGAAAUGCAUCGGCUGUUGUAUAUACAGCUUCCCUGUGUAGUAAAUGCUUAGCUUUACACUUUGAAACUUUUAUAUAACAUGCCGGAAAA